CCCAGCCUGUGGCCCUGUUGGGACAGGGUGGGACCUUUAGGAGACAGAGCUGAGAGGAGGGACAUUACAUCACAGACAAGGACCCUUCGGGGGACCUGGGGACACCAGCCUUUUCCCCCCUCUCUCUGCUUCCUGGUGCCCACGAGAACCUUUGCUCCACUGCACCCUGUCCGCCAUGAUGCUUUCCUCUAUUCAGGCUCCAGAGCAACAGAGCCGACUGAACGUGGGCUGAAACUGCAAGCUAAAGUAUGAACCUUCCCUGCCCAUAAGUUGAUGAUCUCAGGCAUUUUGAAAAGUAACAGCAGAGCUUUUCUUCAGGACUCAAAACAUCGCCCAGUGCUGAAUGCUAAACUCCAGUAGUUUGACAUCUGAUCCAGUGGAGUCUUCUACCGUCCCCCUGCAAGCACAAGGAUGAGGACUCAGGCAGUGACAAGCGCUGGGUGCUGGGAGUCGGUGCGUGGUCACUCUGAAAAAGGCGGUCUGCAAAAAGUGUCCUCAGCUUGAGACACCGAAGUUCAACAGCAAGUUUACUUGCAGAAUUGCAGCAAUACGGCAAGAACAUCCCCAGCAAGAAAAAGCAACACUGAACUACAGAACAUAGGUCUGCAGAGCAGAAGCCUGGUGUGCUGGCUUUCUGUGGCUUUGUCCCCGACACUGUGGUCUUCAGCCGUGUCCAUGGAUGGCUGUCAAUCAGCGUUCCUCAUCUGGGGUCCAGGGGCUUCUGCAGCUGGGUGAUGCCUGGCUGGCCAGCUGUCCCUGGGAGACUCCUCGGUCACCAUUAAGUAUCUGGACUCCUUUGGAAGCCGCCAUGAAGAACGCGAGGAGCAUGUAUCAGGAAGCACUGCUGCGAGGAUUAAAUGAUAUUCGCACCUCCGCCUGACUCUCCAUCUUCAUGUGGAACGUGCACCUUUCCUUUCCGGGGGUCAGUGACUUCCCAUGGCUUUGAUUCAGUUGCCCAAUAAAAGCCUCCUGCUACUCACUGCCUGCUUCCAGAGUGACACGCCUCCACGGGUCAGGAAGAGCUUGUAUUUUAGACCCAGAGUUGCACUAUGUAGUUCAGGCUGGCCUUCAACUUGUGAGGCUUCUCCUGCCUCAGCCUCCUGAGUGCUGGGAUGACAGGCGUGCACCACCAACCCUGCCAGUGCCUGUGCUUUGUGGAUGGAGCAGCCUGAGUUGGUGGGAGCAGUUACCUGCAUGGCUGGCGUCCCUUUCUGCAGAUCUUGCAGCUGAGUCCCUCUUUGACCUGGAUGUGGGUUCUUCCCAGCAGCUGUCUUCCACCGGUCUCCCUUGCACCUCAGAUGCUUAUGACAGAGACACCCAGCCAGCCAAGCCCCAGUGGUGAUAGGUGAAGUCACAGGGAAGGGAGGCUGAGGCAGGAGGAUCCCAAGUUUGAGCCCAGGCUUGGCAACUGAGCAACAGAACGCGUAAAAACUACAAGAAGUAGAAGAAGGCAAAGAGGAAAUGCAAAAAGGAAAAGAACAAUUUUUUUCCAAAACAACUCUGAGAUUCCAGCUCUGUUCAGAAAGAAUGACUAUUACUAAAAUAUCAACCAACAACAAAUGCUGGGCGGGCUAUGGGGAAAAAGGAACCCUUCUCCACUGCUAGUGGGAGGGUAGACUGGUGCAAACCCUGUGGAAAUCAGUGUGGAGAGUCCUCAGAAAACUAGGACUGGAGGUGCCAUUUGACCCAGCCAUUUCCCUUCUGGGUAUUUCCCUAGAAGAAUAAAAGCAUUAUAUCAC
rnacentral:lncRNA from 1 species